rnacentral:rRNA from 1 species
CCUACGGGUAGCAGCAGUGGAGAAUAUUGGGCAAUGGAGGCAACCCUGAACCAGCGACGCCGCGUGAGUGAUGAAGGUCUUCGGAUUGUAAAACUCUUUAAGUGGGGACGAAGAAUGAGACUGUACCACCAGAAUAAGACUAGGCUAACUACGUGGCACCAGACGCGGUAAUACGGAGGAGGCCAGCGUUAUCCGGAAUGAAUGGGCGGAAAGGGUGCGUCGGUGGUUUGAUAGGAUAGUAGCGUAAUUCCGGGGCUCAACCUCGGAACUACUACUAAAACUGUUGGGCUUGAGUUCAGGAGAGGUGAAUGGAAUUCCUGGUGUAGCGGUGGAAUGCGUAGAUAUCAAGAGGAACCC